rnacentral:rRNA from 1 species
AAUGAACGUUGGCGGCGUGGAUUAGGCAUGCAAGUCGAGCGAGAACCCGCAAGGGGGACAGCGGCGAACGGGGUAGUAAGGCGUAGGUGACGUGCCCUCAGGGCCGGAAUAGCCACGGGAAACUGUGGAUAAUGCCGGAUAACCUCUUGGAUUUUGAAUUUUCCGGGAGCAAUGGGUGUGAUUCCACCAGAGGAGCGGCUUACGUGGUAUUAGCUAGUUGGCGAGGUAACGGCUCACCAAGGCGACGAUGCCUAGGGGGUGUGAGAGCAUGGCCCCCACCACUGGGACUGAGAUACUGCCCAGACACCUACGGGUGGCUGCAGUCGAGAAUCUUCGGCAAUGGACGCAAGUCUGACCGAGCGACGCCGCGUGCGGGAUGAAGGCCUUCGGGUUGUAAACCGCUGUCAGAGGGGAUGAAAUUCGUUUGGGUUCUCCCAGACGAUUGACAGAGCCUCAGAGGAAGCACGGGCUAAGUACGUGCCAGCAGCCGCCGUAAGAC